AAUAGAUACCCAGGUAGUCCACGCCGUAAACGAUGAGUGCUAAGUGUUAGAGGGUUUCCGCCCUUUAGUGCUGCAGCAAACGCAUUAAGCACUCCGCCUGGGGAGUACGGCCGCAAGGCUGAAACUCAAAGGAAUUGACGGGGGCCCGCACAAGCGGUGGAGCAUGUGGUUUAAUUCGAAGCAACGCGAAGAACCUUACCAGGUCUUGACAUCCCCUGACAACCCUAGAGAUAGGGCGUUCCCCUUCGGGGGACAGGGUGACAGAUGGUGCAUGGUUGUCGUCAGCUCGUGUCGUGAGAUGUUGGGUUAAGUCCCGCAACGAGCGCAACCCUUGAUCUUAGUUGCCAGCAUUCAGUUGGGCACUCUAAGGUGACUGCCGGUGACAAACCGGAGGAAGGUGGGGAUGACGUCAAAUCAUCAUGCCCCUUAUGACCUGGGCUACACACGUGCUACAAUGGAUGGUACAAAGGGCUGCAAAACCGCGAGGUUAAGCGAAUCCCAUAAAACCAUUCUCAGUUCGGAUUGCAGGCUGCAAC
rnacentral:rRNA from 1 species